GAUGAACGCUGGCGGCGUGCCUAAUACAUGCAAGUCGAGCGAACGGACGAGAAGCUUGCUUCUCUGAUGUUAGCGGCGGACGGGUGAGUAACACGUGGAUAACCUACCUAUAAGACUGGGAUAACUUCGGGAAACCGUAGCUAAUACCGGAUAAUAUUUUGAACCGCAUGGUUCAAAAGUGAAAGACGGUCUUGCUGUCACUUAUAGAUGGAUCCGCGCUGCAUUAGCUAGUUGGUAAGGUAACGGCUUACCAAGGCAACGAUGCAUAGCCGACCUGAGAGGGUGGUCGGCCACACUGGAACUGAGACACGGUCCAGACUCCUACGGGAGGCAGCAGUAGGGAAUCUUCCGCAAUGGGCGAAAGCCUGACGGAGCAACGCCGCGUGAGUGAUGAAGGUCUUCGGAUCGUAAAACUCUGUUAUUAGGGAAGAACAUAUGUGUAAGUAACUGUGCACAUCUUGACGGUACCUACUCAGAAAGCCACGGCUAACUACGUG
rnacentral:rRNA from 1 species